rnacentral:rRNA from 1 species
UACGUAGGGGGCGAGCGUUGUCCGGAUUUAUUGGGCGUAAAGAGCGUGUAGGCGGCCAGGUAGGUCCGUUGUGAAAACUCGAGGCUCAACCUCGAGACGUCGAUGGAAACCAUCUGGCUAGAGUCCGGAAGAGGAGAGUGGAAUUCCCGGUGUAGCGGUGAAAUGCGCAGAUAUCGGGAAGAACACCCGUGGCGAAGGCGGCUCUCUGGGACGGUACUGACGCUGAGACGCGAAAGCGUGGGGAGCGAACAGG